UGGGGUGUAGCCAAGCGGUAAGGCAACAGACUUUGACUCUGUCAUCUCAAUGGUUCGAUUCCAUUCACCCCAGCCA
rnacentral:tRNA from 1 species